UACGAAGGGGGCGAGCGUUGUUCGGAUUUACUGGGCGUAAAGGGCGCGCAGGCGGCUCAUUUUGUCAGGCGUGAAAGCCCCGGGCUUAACCUGGGAACUGCGUUUGAUACGGAUGGGCUAGAGUUCGGGAGAGGAGAGUGGAAUUCCCAGUGUAGAGGUGAAAUUCGUAGAUAUUGGGAAGAACACCGGUGGCGAAGGCGGCCAUCUGGACCGCAACUGACGCUGAGGCGCGAAAUCGUGGGGAGCAAACAGG
rnacentral:rRNA from 1 species